rnacentral:lncRNA from 1 species
UUGCUAGGUCAAAUACAUGUCCCCCUGACCCUUCUGUUGCUAGGUCAAAUACAUGUCCCCCGGACCCUUCUGUUGCUAGGUCAAAUACAUGUCCCCUGACCCUUCUGUUGCUAGGUCAAAUACAUGUCCCCCUGACCCUUCUGUUGCUAGGUCAAAUACAUGUCCCCCGGACCCUUCCGUUGCUAGGUCAAAUACAUGUCCCCUGACCCUUCUGUUGCUAGGUCAAAUACAUGUCCCCCUGACCCUUCUGUUGCUAGGUCAAAUAAAUGUCCUCCUGACCAUUCUGUUUCUAGGUCAAAUACAUGUCCCCCUGACCCUUCUGUUGGACUUACUGUUGCUAGGUCAAAUACAUGUCCCCUUGACCCUUCUGUUGGACAUACUGUUGCUAGGUAAAAUACAUGUCCCCCUGACCCUUCUGUUGCUAGGUCAAAUACAUGUCACCCGGACCCUUCUGUUGGACAUACUGUUGCUAUGUCAAAUACAUGUCCCCCUGACCCUUCUGUUGCUAGGUCAAAUACAUCUCCCCCCG